UACGGAGGGAGCUAGCGUUUUUCGGAAUUACUGGGCGUAAAGCGCACGUAGGCGGCUUUUUAAGUCAGGGGUGAAAUCCCGGGACUCAACCUCGGAACUGCCCUUGAAACUGGGAAGCUAGAAUCUUGGAGAGGCGAGUGGAAUUCCGAGUGUAGAGGGGAAAUUCGUAGAUAUUCGGAAGAACACCAGUGGCGAAGGCGACUCGCUGGACAAGUAUUGACGCUGAGGUGCGAAAGCGUGGGGAGCAAACAGG
rnacentral:rRNA from 1 species